UUUGGAGAGUUUGAUCCUGGCUCAGGAUGAACGCUGGCGGCACGCCUAACACAUGCAAGUCGAACGAAAAUUUAGAUUUUAGAUUUUAGAUGUUAGAAUUUCGAUUUAUUCGAAUCUCUAACAUCUAUCGUCUAGCUUCUACUUUUUAGUGGCGGACGGGUGAGUAACACGUUGGAACCUGCCCCGAAGAGGGGGAUAACCAUCCGAAAGGGUGGCUAAUACCCCAUAUACUCCGAUUUAUUCGGAGGAAAGCUUUCGCGCUUCGGGAGGGGCCUGCGUAACAUUAGCUUGUUGGUGAGGUAAAAGCUCACCAAGGCUACGAUGUUUAGCUGGUUUGAGAGGAUGAUCAGCCACACUGGGACUGAGAUACGGCCCAGACUCCUACGGGAGGCAGCAGUGAGGAAUAUUCCACAAUGGGGGAAACCCUGAUGGAGCGAUGCCGCGUGCAGGAAGACGCUUUUCGGAGUGUAAACUGCUUUUAACAGGGAAGAUUAUGACGGUACCUGUAGAAUAAGGACCGGCUAACUACGUGCCAGCAGCCGCGGUAAUACGUAGGGUCCAAGCGUUAUUCGGAAUUACUGGGCGUAAAGCGUUCGUAGGCGGUUUGAUAAGUUGGAUGUGAAAUCCUGUGGCUCAACCACAUGGACUGUGUCCAAAACUAUCUAACUAGAGCAUAGUAGAGGCAAGUGGAAUUUCUGGUGUAGGAGUGACAUCCGUAGAUAUCAGAAGGAACACCAAUGGCGAAGGCAGCUUGCUGGGCUAUUGCUGACGCUCAGGAACGAAAGCGUGGGGAGCGAACGGGAUUAGAUACCCCGGUAGUCCACGCCGUAAACGAUGAUCACUAACAGUAUGGAGAUUCGACCCUCUGUGUUGUAAAGCUAACGCGUUAAGUGAUCCGCCUGGGGAGUNNNNNNNNNNCAAGGUUAAAACUCAAAGGAAUUGACGGGGACCCGCACAAGCAGUGGAGGAUGUGGUUUAAUUCGACGCCAAGCGAAGAACCUUACCGAGGUUUGACAUCCCAGGAAAUCAAGCGAAAGCUAGAUGUGCCUUCGGGAACCUGGUGACAGGUGCUGCAUGGCCGUCGUCAGCUCGUGUCGUGAGAUGUUGGGUUAAGUCCCGCAACGAGCGCAACCCUCGUCGUAAGUUAGUAUGUCUUACGAGACCGCCUGGGUUAACCAGGAGGAAGGUGGGGAUGACGUCUGGUCAGCAUGGCCCUUACACCUCGGGCUACACACGUCCUACAAUGGCCGUUACAACGCGCUAGCCAAGCCGUAAGGCGGAGCGAAUCGCAUCAAAAGCGGCCUCAGUUCGGAUUGAGGGCUGAAA
rnacentral:rRNA from 1 species